rnacentral:rRNA from 1 species
UACGAAGGGGACUAGCGUUGUUCGGAAUCACUGGGCGUAAAGCGCACGUAGGCGGAUUCGUAAGUCAGGGGGGAAAUCCCGGGGCUCAACCUCGGAACUGCCUUUGAUACUGCGGGUCUUGAGUCCGAUAGAGGUGGGUGGAAUUCCUAGUGUAGAGGUGAAAUUCGUAGAUAUUAGGAAGAACACCGGUGGCGAAGGCGGCCCACUGGAUCGGUACUGACGCUGAGGUGCGAAAGCGUGGGGAGCAAACAGG